rnacentral:tRNA from 1 species
GGUUGUAGCUCAGUGGUAGAGCGCUUGCCUCGCAUGUGUGAGGCCCUGGGUUCAAUCUUCAGCACCA